GGGCGUAAAGCGAACGCAGGCGGACUGUUAAGUAGGAAGUGAAAGGUCGGAGCUCAACUCCAACAUUGCUUCCUAUACUGGCAGUCUUGAGUAGCGGAGAGGAAGGGGGAACGACACGUGUAGCGGUGAAAUGCGUUGAUAUGUGUCGGAACACCCAUGGCGAAAGCACCCUUCUGGACGCAAACUGACGCUCAGGUUCGAAAGCUAAGGUAGCGAACAGGAUUAGAUACCCUGGUAGUCUUACCCCUAAACUAUGUUCACUAGGUGUCGGGGGGUUUCCUUCGGUGCCGCAGCUAACGCAUUAAGUGAACCGCCUGGGGACUACGGCCGCAAGGCUGAAACUCAAAGGAAUUGGCGGGGGCCCGCACAAGCGGUGGAGCAUAUGGCUUAAUUCGAUGCAACGCGAAGAACCUUACCAGGGCUUGACAUGUACCUGCAAUCCCCCGAAACGGGGCCGCCUUCGAGGGUGGUGCACAGGUGGUGCAUGGCUGUCGUCAGCUCGUGUUGUGAAAUGUUGGGUUAAGUCCCGCAACGAGCGCAACUCUCAUGUUUUGUUACCAGCGGAUAAUGCCGGGGACUCGAGACAAACUGCCUCUGUAAAGAGGAGGAAGGUGGGAACGACGUCAAGUCAUCAUGCCCCUUACGCCCUGGGGCUGCACAUAUGCUACAAUGGCUUCUACAAAGGGGUUGCUAACCAGCGAUGGUACGCUAAUCUCAAAAAACAAGUCUCAGAUUCGGAUCGGAGUCUCGCACUCGACUCAUGAUGUUGUGAAUCGCUAGUAACCGCAGAUCAGCACUACUGCCGCGAUACGUUCCCGGGCCUGCACGUCACUGCCCGUC
rnacentral:rRNA from 1 species